rnacentral:rRNA from 1 species
GUAGGUGGCAAGCGUUGUCCGGAAUCAUUGGGCGUAAAGCGCGCGCAGGCGGUUCUUUAAGUCUGAUGUGAAAGCCCACGGCUCAACCGUGGAGGGUCAUUGGAAACUGGAGAACUUGAGUACAGAAGAGGAAAGCGGAAUUCCACGUGUAGCGGUGAAAUGCGUAGAGAUGUGGAGGAACACCAGUGGCGAAGGCGGCUUUCUGGUCUGUAACUGACGCUGAGGCGCGAAAGCGUGGGGAGCAAACAGGAUUAGAUACCCUGGUAGUCCACGCCGUAAACGAUGAGUGCUAAGUGUUAGGGGGUUUCCGCCCCCCUUAGUGCUGCAGCUAACGCAUUAAGCACUCCGCCUGGGAGUACGGCCGCAAGGCUG